rnacentral:lncRNA from 1 species
ACAAGACCAGCAGCAGGUACAUCUCCCCGACCUCAUUACUGACCCCCUCACAUUGGUGCCUCAUUUGUCUAUGCAAUGCAAAUGUGACUCCCAGACUCGCGGCUGCCAGCCUGCCAUAUGCCCAGCAGCUAUGCAUGGCCUAAAGUCCAUACUACAGGCUACAAGCCCUGCUGAAUAAUGCAUGAGCACUUUGAUUUAAGGUAAAAAAAAAGUGUUGACAACAUUAAGAAAUUAUGUGAUAAACAAUAUAGGGAAGUUU